GACGAACGCUGGCGGCGUGCUUAACACAUGCAAGUCGAACGAAGUGGCGAACGGGUGAGUAACGCGUAAUCAACCUGCAAUUCAGAGGGGGACAACAGUUGGAAAAGACUGCUAAUACCGCAUACUGAAGGAGGGGAUUGCGUCUGAUUAGCUAGUUGGCGGGGUAACGGCCCACCAAGGCGAUUAUCAGUAGCCGGUGUUGGAGGAGUGACGGCGCCGUUGGGACUGGAUCACUGCCUAGACUCCUACUGGAGGCAUCAGUGGGGAAUCUUCCGCAAUGGACGAAAGUCUUACGGAGCAACUCCGCGUGAGUGAUGACGGCCUUCGGGUUGUAAAGCUCUGUUAAUCGGGACGCGGUACCGGAAUAGAAAGCCACGGCUAACUACGUGCCAGCAGCCGCGGUAAUAC
rnacentral:rRNA from 1 species